rnacentral:rRNA from 1 species
GACGUAGGGCGCGAGCGUUGUCCGGAUUUAUUGGGCGUAAAGAGCUCGUGGGCGGCUUGUUGCGUCGACUGUGAAAACCCGCGGCUUAACUGCGGGCUUGCAGUUGAUACGGGCAGGCUAGAGUUCGGUAGGGGAGACUGGAAUUCCUGGUGUAGCGGUGAAAUGCGCAGAUAUCAGGAGGAACACCGGUGGCGAAGGCGGGUUGCUUGUCUGACACUGACGCUGAGGCGCGAAAGCCAGGGGAGCAAACGGG